rnacentral:rRNA from 1 species
UACAGAGGUGGCAAGCGUUGUUCGGAAUUACUGGGCGUAAAGGGCGCGUAGGCGGUCUUCUAAGUCUUGUGUGAAAUCCCUCGGCUCAACUGAGGAACUGCACGGGAUACUGGAAGACUUGAGUUCGGGAGAGGGAAGCGGAAUUCCGGGUGUAGCGGUGAAAUGCGUAGAUAUCCGGAGGAACACCGGUGGCGAAGGCGGCUUCCUGGACCGAUUCUGACGCUGAGGCGCGAAAGCUAGGGGAGCAAACAGG